rnacentral:rRNA from 1 species
GGGUGAGUAACGCGUAAGGAACUUGCCUCUUGGACUGGGACAACUGUUGGAAACGACAGCUAAUACCGGAUAUUAUGAGAUUCUCGCAUGAGAAACUUAUGAAAGCUAUAUGCGCCAAGAGAGAGCCUUGCGUUCCAUUAGCUAGUUGGUGGGGUAACGGCCCACCAAGGCGACGAUGGAUAGCCGGCCUGAGAGGGUGAACGGCCACAAGGGGACUGAGACACGGCCCUUACUCCUACGGGAGGCAGCAGUGGGGAAUAUUGGACAAUGGGCCACAAGCCUGAUCCAGCAAUUCUGUGUGCACGAUGAAGGUCUUCGGAUUGUAAAGUGCUUUCAGUUGGGAAGAAGAAAGUGACGGUACCAACAGAAGAAGCGACGGCUAAAUACGUGCCAGCAGCCGCGGUAAUACGUAUGUCGCAAGCGUUAUCCGGAUUUAUUGGGCGUAAAGCGCGUCUAGGCGGAAAAAUAAGUCUGAUGUUAAAAUGCGGGGCUCAACUCCGUAUUGCGUUGGAAACUGUUUUUCUAGAGUACUGGAGAGGUGGGCGGAACUACAAGUGUAGAGGUGAAAUUCGUAGAUAUUUGUAGGAAUGCCGAUGGAGAAGUCAGCUCACUGGACAGAUACUGACGCUGAAGCGCGAAAGCGUG